AUUGAACGCUGGCGGCAGGCCUAACACAUGCAAGUCGAGCGAGCGGCGGACGGGUGAGUAAUGUCUGGGAAACUCCCCGCGGGGGGGGGAGAACUACUGGAAACGGUAGCUAAUACCGCAUACCCUCAGAUAUGCCCCGAUGGGAUUAGCUAGGAGGUGGGGUAACGGCUCACCUAGGCGACGCGCCCUAGCUGGUCUGAGAGGAUGACCAGCCACACUGGAACUGAGACACGGUCCAGACUCCUACGGGAGGCAGCAGUGGGGAAUAUUGCACAAUGGGCGCAAGCCUGAUGCAGCCAUGCCGCGUGUAUGAAGAAGGCCUUCGGGUUGUAAAGUACUUUCAGCGGGGAGGCGUUACCCGCAGAAGAAGCACCGGCUAACUCCGUGCCAGCAGCCGCGGUAAUAC
rnacentral:rRNA from 1 species